GAUGAACGCUGGCGGCGUGCUUAACACAUGCAAGUCGAACGGAAAGGCUCCUGCUUGCAGGGGUACUCGAGUGGCGAACGGGUGAGUAACACGUGGGUGAUCUGCCCUGCACUUCGGGAUAAGCCUGGGAAACUGGGUCUAAUACCGGAUAGGACCACAUUUUGGAUGGUGUGGUGGAAAGUUUUUCGGUGUGGGAUGAGCUCGCGGCCUAUCAGCUUGUUGGUGGGGUAAUGGCCUACCAAGGCGUCGACGGGUAGCCGGCCUGAGAGGGUGUACGGCCACAUUGGGACUGAGAUACGGCCCAGACUCCUACGGGAGGCAGCAGUGGGGAAUAUUGCACAAUGGGCGCAAGCCUGAUGCAGCGACGCCGCGUGGGGGAUGACGGCCUUCGGGUUGGAAACUCCGUUCGCUAGGGACGAAGCGCAAGUGACGGUACCUGGAGAAGAAGCACCGGCUAACUACGUGC
rnacentral:rRNA from 1 species